GACGUAGGGCGCGAGCGUUGUCCGGAUUUAUUGGGCGUAAAGAGCUCGUAGGCGGCUUGUCGCGUCGACUGUGAAAUCCCGCGGCUCAACUGCGGGUCUGCAGUCGAUACGGGCAGGCUAGAGUUCGGUAGGGGAGAAUGGAAUUCCCGGUGUAGCGGUGAAAUGCGCAGAUAUCGGGAGGAACACCAGUGGCGAAAGCGGCUUCCUGGUCCAGCACCGACGUUCAGGCACGAAAGCGUGGGGAGCAAACAGG
rnacentral:rRNA from 1 species